rnacentral:lncRNA from 1 species
AAGGACCGGAAGAGAAGGACUAGUGAAAGGAAUCUACAUGCUUGGGGAAAAAAAUCUGGGUUCCGGUGCUUCAGGAGCAACUGGAAGAACAUUUCAACAAUCCAAAGCAGUGUGACAUCACCUCCCUCGUCUUAGUUGGUAUUGUCUCCAGUUUGCUUUCCUAGUCAUUUCUUCCUGGAGAUGCGACGUAUGUAUUUAUAUAUGUAUGUAUGUGUGUGUCUUUAUUGGACAUGGCACAUUGUUAAUUGCUGUGGAAGAAAAAAGAAGUAUAUGGAGAUGCUGUCUACCUUUGAAGAGAUUAUUAUCCCCUUAAUGGCAGCCAUGAGAAUGUGCCUCUCGGUCCUCCAACUACAGGGAGCAUAACUGACCAAGGACAUCUGCUGCUGGGCUCUGAAUUCCGUCGCUGCCAUGUUUGCACUGAGUCUGUUCCCAGCCACGGGCUGAGUACAGCCGAGAUACUGAAGCAGGCCUAGUUCUGGAAGGCAUGGAACGCCUAUGCCAGCUGCCUUUGGCCCAAGGACUCCCUCUUAGUAUUGCUGCAUCUUCCUCUGAGAGCAGGGCAGUCUAGUAUGCUUCCACUUGACAUUUCUUCCCACUCUUUUCCCUUUGGGAUCAGACUUGCAUUUGGAUAGUUUCCCUAGCUUUCUCCAGCCUGCUUCCUAUUUUCUUUCACAGGCAUUUCCCCCAAUAAAAAUCUUUGCACGUUUAAUCUUGUCUUGACA